rnacentral:tRNA from 1 species
GUUUUGAUAGUUUAAUAAAAAUAUUGGUUUUGUAAUCCAAAGAUAAAUCUUUUUUUAAAACU